AGGAAUUGACUUGUUUUAGGUGUUUUACUUAAUAGGGAAUGGAGUGUAAAUCUUCAACUACCCCAGUAACCGUGAAAUGGACAAAAUCUAGUUAAGCCACUGCAUAAUUAUUUAUGUGGGAAGGUUAGAUUGCGGAUGAAGUUAAGUCGGGAGACCUGCCUAAUAACGAUGGUACUA
rfam:Clostridium paraputrificum strain 373-A1 CP373A1_26, whole genome shotgun sequence.